AUGUUUACUUUCGGGCAUGGCCGCAAUGCCAUGGGCAGCGUGAACCCAGCACAUUCAAGCACAUCCCAAACUUUAAUAUGGCUGGUGGGGGGAAAAAAAAGGGCCCCGAAGCCAUGGCAUCGGCGCUGGCUGGAAGGGCGGCUUGUGCUGCAGGUGAUGGAUGGGGGAGACACUUGGCCAGACUCACGAGCAAAGCGUAACACCCAGGGGACGGAGAGGGCGAGGGUGGCGGGGUUUGAAGCCCCAAGCAAGGGAAAUGCUGGGGGUGGGUCGUGGCGGGGCUGGGGUGAGCGUGGCAUCGGGGGCCGCCCUGUGACACCAAAUACCUUCCUCCUCAAGUGCAACAACCACAACGACAGGCUUUUCUCACCAUUUAUUUACUUGCUUCAUACCACGGUACGAACGAUGCUCUCGCGAGCUGCGUAUUAUGAUUUACUGCAUUGCCUCCUAGUGCAUUUUGCCUACAGCGGACCCGUACGUUGCUUUCCUAGCAUGGCAUGCAGUCCCCCUCCAAUUCACGGCAUUGCGGGACGGGCUGGCAAUUUCUGGCUCCCAGCUGGCCGAAACACGGCGUCGAGGCACGGUCACUGUCGUGGCUUUGGUGGCGGGGCGAGGAGCAGCACCCGCCGGCCGGUGGGGGCCCCCGCCACCCCCUCGGGGCUGGUUUCCCCCGGGGAGAGGUGCCAGGGGAGUGAGGUGUCCCCGGGCAGCGCUGCGCCGGGGCAGCCCGGGGGGGCGGCGGGUCCGGCUGCGUCAGGGGUGCCGCCAGCCCUCCCGGCCCCAGGAGCCGUCACCCUCCUGGCGGCUGUCGCUGCGGCUGCCUCGCUCUGGCUCCGACGACUGGCUGCUGUCGUCUGGGCUGCGGCGUACCGGCCGGGGCCAGCCGCCCCGGGGGCUGUAGGGGCUGAAAGGUGCCCCGGGGCGGCGGUGGGCCCCCCCGGGGGCGGCGGGGCGGGCAGCCUGGCCGAAGGCGUAGACGGAGCGCUCCCGCACGCGGAGCUCGUCGGCCCGCCGCACCUGGUCCACCCGCCGGCUGCGGCCGUAGGCCUCGUACACCCGGGCAACGCCGCUGCCUGGCCGCCGGCCGGGGGGGGCUCCCGGCCUCCCCCUGCCACCGCCGCCACCCCUGCCCCUCGCCUCGCCGCUGUUGCCCCUCUGCCCCGGGCUCCUGGGGGCAUCCCCAUGGCGGGCGCCGGCAGUGGGUGCCGCGGCGAGCACCAUGCUGUGGCCGCGAGCUGUCUCACGUCCAGCCACCCCGUCACCGAGGGGGGCCUGCGCGGGGGGACGGGGACGGGCCGGCUCGCCGCCACCGUGGGAGGACCCGCUGGCCUCUGUCACCCGGUCUUGUCUCGCCACCGGCAUCUCCCCGCCCUCGCCAGCUGUGCCCUGGCUAGCGCCAGCUCCAUCUUUCCCUUGCGGGGAUUUGGGGAGCCCGGUGCCCUCCCGCUGGCCCCGUGGCCCAGUGGGUCGCGGCCUGACUUGGUGGCUCCCACCUGGCCCAGGCCGGUCAGCUGCCUCCCGGCCAGCCGUGGUGCAGUCCCCCUCGCCCUGCUGGGGUGCCGUCGUGGCGCCACCAUCGUCACUGUCACCGUCGUCACCAUCACCGUCGCCACCGUCACCAUCGCCCUCCGGCUGCACCAUGGUGGCCGCCGGCCCGUGCCCCUCAGUGGGGCCGUCCCUGUCACUGUGGCCCACUGUGGUGGCCACUCCCUGGGCCUCGCCGCCAUCUCGCCCGCUCGCGGGGGUGCUCUGGCCACCGUCGUGCACCUCGGUGGUGCCCGGUGUGGGCAGGUGGCCACCAGCCCCCACCGUGGCGGCGAUGGUGUCGUGAUCGUCAUCGCUUGGGCGCUCUGUGGCGAUCUCUUGCUCCCCGACAUGGAUGUUGGCCUUCCCAAUGAAGAUGUUGACUUCGUCGUCCUCCUUGGUAGGGAUCUGGGCAAGACCCGUCCUCCCUGCCUGGGUCGCCCCUUGGGUGAUGGUGACUGCGCCGGCGUCUGGGAUGUACGUGUAUUCAUCCACACCGGCCGCAUCAACUUCCACAUCCUCAGCGUUUUCGGUGAUGGAUGUGAAGGCGGCGCCUCUCACGGUGGCUGGACCGUGGCCCCUGCCUCGAGCAGCGCCCAGCACACCAGCGUCACCACUGCCCUCUGCCUCAGCCCCCACAGCGGUGUCCUCUGCCGGCCCGCCAGCCGGCUGGUGUCCUGUCGUCACCACCUCCCGGGCCCACUCGUCCUCAUGGCCAUCGCCAGCCGCCUCUCCAGCACGGGAGCCGUUCCUCUCCCCGGCUGCCUCCAGCUCCCCAAGGCCGUCUGCCUCCGACCCGGUGCCAUCAGCACCUUCCCAAGUGCUCUCGUGCUCCCGCGGGGCCGUGACGGGGCGUUGGGGCAGGACCAAAACGUCGCUUUCCACCCUGUCCAGGAAAUCGGAGUCGCCGCUGCCCUCAGUGCCUGGAGCCAGGCUAGCGUCGCUGCCGACACCGCCACCUGCGCCAGGCCGGCGGGCCUCCCCGCUGCCGGCAUUGCCCGCGGUGCUGGGCGGCUGCCCGCCCUCCACACUGCUGCCGCCGUUCUCGGGUCCAGCACGCUCCGGCAGGGAGCUGUCGUCGUCCCCUCUCCCGCCAGCCGCGCCGCCCUCCGUCAGCUUCCUUAG
rnacentral:lncRNA from 1 species